AAUAUAUCAGUCUGGUCUGACCAUCAGCAAUUGUAACAGGACUCUCGCUUUCUCCACUUAAACAUGGAGUGCCCAAGUUAUUCUCUUAUAGCCUAAACAUGCAUCAAAUGUGUUCACCUGAAACCAAGGAAUCUUCUUCACACUUUCUGCCUGACAGAGAAAAUUACUGCCUUAGUAAGUUUGCACUGGUUAGAUAGUGUCACAUGGCCCAGGCUAAUUUUAAGUAUCAUCCAGCAGCACGAGGCCAUAUGAAGCUCAGCUCUGCUGAGGCAAUCGAUCUUAGUCAUUCUGCCUGAUGAACGGCUUUAAAACGUAAUACAGAGCCUCUCAACGGUACUCCAAAGUCUAGAAUAGUGACUCAUUUCUCAGGGAAGUAAAUUGCUCUUCUAUUUUUACAAAGCUCCCAUGUCUCCCUUGUUUUAGGAUUAAUACCAUGUCCUGCAGAAGGCGAUGUCAUUACAGAUUCAGGGAGGAAGAAACACUUUCUGGUGAAGUUCUGACGAGCACAUCUCUGACAUGAGAGCAGAAGACCGCGAGCUCUCUUAGAUCCUUGGUCUGCCUCUGGAGACAGAGGGUGAUGUUGCACAAAUGAGACGUUUGUUCUGGUUGCAGGUCGUCGCCAGACACUCAGCCCCUCCUCCCUGCAGCUGGCUGGCAUCUGUGUGAGAGGAAGCUGCGACAAGAGGAGGCCGGAAGAGGAAGACUCCUUCUAACCAUCUUCAAAACUCGUCAAAGCAAGGGGCUUGUCCAGCCCAACGCCCCCACUCUUCCUACAGCUCUGAAGGCUCAGUGACCUUGGCCACUGUCCCACAUGCUGCGGAGCCCACAGUGUGUCCCCUGCUCAGCCAUGCUUCUCCUGCUCAUCUCAGUGCUUGACGUGAUUUUUGCCCCAAGAGGAACCGGAGCCCAGUCGGUGACCCAGCCUGAUGCCCACGUCACAGUUUCUGAAGGAUCCCCUCUGGAGCUGAGGUGCAAUUAUUCCUAUAGCGGAACUCCUUAUCUCUACUGGUACGUGCAGUACCCCAGCCAAGGCCUCCAGCUUCUCCUCCGGUACUUUUCAGGGGACACUCUGGUUAAAGGCAUCAGAGGUUUCGAGGCUGAAUUUAGGAAGGCUGAAACCUCCUUCCACUUGAGGAAACCCUCAGCCCAUGGGAGCAACACGGCCAAGUACUUCUGUGCUGCGAGUGACACAGUGUCUGGGACUGCAGGGGGAGCCGAACACAAACCUCCUGAGACACUGGGACUUUUUGUGACUCAAGAACUCAGGAGACUUUUCCAAGCUCUCUUCUUCAGUGAAGGCAAAUAGGGCAGGACAGGCUGGGCUCUGGGGGAACGCUUACUCCCUGAGUAGUUGCCUCAACAGCCAUGCUGUGCUCCAUUCUGACAGACUUUGUUCCAGAUCGAGGUCUUCCGAUGAAUGUCUCCAAGACAGACGCACCCCACCAAGUCCCCACCCCACUCCCACGCUGAGCAUAUCAUUAAGUGUCAGAGUUCUGAAGCAAAAAAGGCAAGAGCAUUUUUACUUAAAAAAAAUCAUUUCUAGCAUUCAUGAUGGUCAUUAGCACGGCCUCAGGUGUUGAGCUCCAUGUGGAAAACUGAAGAACGUGGUUAUAAUGUUAGCUGACAAGCUGUGCCACGUACAUUCUCAACGAAGGCAACACGAACAACAUAGAUUCUUAAUCAGCGCAAUAUAGAGGCUCAACCUAGAUUUGAAGCUUAACUUCUAGCACAUACGUAAUAUCCAACCGUGUGACACUCCCAUGUUUUAAAGUAAAAUAGACAUCACGAUAUCUAGAUUUCCAAUCUCGUGUAACACAAAACCAGUGAACCUAUCUUACAUGAUUCUUAAAGCAAUAUUGAGAAUCUAAAAGCCACCCAGUGGUAAUUGUUUUUUGAAAUAGCUAUCCCAGUGAUUUCCAAAUUAAAAAUUUGAGGUUACUAACCCAUAAAAAGAUAUCAAAUAUAAUAUCUGCUGAAAAACUCCUAGGCAUUUUGUAACAAGUCACACUCAUUCAUGAUAUCAUAUAAAACUGCAUACUCAACAAAGUUUUCUAGACUUUCAAGGCACAUUAACAAAGCUCAGAGGAAACUCAAUCUUCAUGACCAAAGUUCACGGUAUCAAAGAUUACACAAAUUCUAAUAGGGAUAUCCAAAACCACAGAAUAUUUUUAUGUCCUCUGAAACAACUGUAUCAAAGAGCUCACAUGUUUAAGAUAUUUUGUAUAUAUGAUUAUGACUCUAAAUUGUUGUUUGUGAUUUAUGUGAUUAAAAAAAUCACCCCCAAAAUGUCAUAAAAAGUUUACACACACAAAAAUUAAGCCUCACAGAACAGAAAUUAAUUUUGAAAUUAGUAGUAAAGUAAUUAUACUUUAUGUUCCCCCAACUUCUUUCUACAUCUCUGUCCAUCUCCUCUUUUUUUUAAUUUUAUUUUUAAGUAAUUUCCACACCCAACAUGGAGCUUAAAGUUAUAACUCAGAGAUCAAGAGUUGUGUGCUCUACCAACCAAACCAGCCGGGAACCCUUCACUCCCCCUCUUCUAUUUUCAUCUGGGAAACAUCUCUAUUCCACUCCCAAGAUAAUAUCUCUACUUAAUUUCUUGAUAACAUUCCUUUUUAUCUUUUCUGGGGAAAGGACAAAAUGAUCACGUUCUUAUUAAAUCUUUGUCUAACUGUCCUCUAAGAAAUGUCUCCUUAUUUCUGGGUUCAUGUUGUACUUUUCUGGGAUGCUAUUUGGGAUAUGAAUACACACACUUAUACGUUUGUCUUUCCUGCUAUACCAUAGUGUUUUACGAGUAGGGAUAAUGUUUCAUUCAGUUUUUGAUCUCUUAAGACCUCGCACAAGAUCUAGUUUAUAGAAGAACUUCAACAAAUUGCUGUGGACUUAUUUUGAAAUAGAUUGGAGAAAUUACAUACAAGCCUGAAGGUGCAAUUUGACAAAAUAUUUUAAGAGAGUAACCUUCAUUAAAUGGCAUUUUGAGGAAGAAAUCAGUUUACUUAAAAAAAAAAAAAAAA